rnacentral:sRNA from 1 species
UGGCUGUCGUCAGCUCGUGCCGUGAGGUGUUGGGUUAAGUCCCGCAACGAGCGCAACCCUUAUUGCUAGUUGCCACCAUUUAGGAUGGGAACUCUAGCGAGACUGCCUGGGUUAACCAGGAGGAAGGUGAGGAUGACGUCAAGUCCGCAUGGCCCUUAUGUCUGGGGCUACACACGUGCUACAAUGGCCGGUACAGAAGGCAGCGAAGCCGCGAGGUGGAGCAAAUCCCAAAAACCGGUCCCAGUUCAGAUUGUAGUCUGCAACUCGGCUACAUGAAGUUGGAAUUGCUAGUAAUGGCGUGUCAGCAACAACGCCGUGAAUACGUUCCCGGGUCUUGUACACACCGCCCGUCACGUCAUGGGAGUUGGUUUUACCCGAAGUCGCUGACUUAACCGCAAGGGGAGAGGCGCCUAAGGUGAGGCCGAUGACUGGGACGAAGUCGUAACAAGGUAGCCCUACCGGAAGGUGGGGCUGGAUCACCUCCUUUAAGGACUAACAUAGGAUGCCGAAAGGCUCAUGUCCUAUGGUUGAGACAAGCUCGACUGCCUACAUCAUCUUACUAACGCUGUCAAAACACGUUAUCUUACAGAACAAACAAAAAGCGUAAACACAUUAAGAGGAUUUGCGAAACCCGAAAGGGGAAAGCAAAGACUCUAAAUUCACUGACGAUAAUCGACGCUUGAGGAGACCCCUCAGCGUCAAGCGUUAGCUUGAGAAAUUAUGGUCAAGUUAUUAAGAGCUGCUGGAGGAUGCCUAGGCAUCAAAAGGCGAUGAAGGACGCGCGUACCUGCGAAAAGCUUCGGGGAGCCGGAAAGAGGCGUUGAACCGAAGAUAUCCGAAUGGGGAAACCCGG